rnacentral:rRNA from 1 species
ACUCAAAGGAAUAGACGGGGGCCCGCACAAGCGGUGGAUCAUGUGGUUUAAUUCGAAGCAACGCGCAAAACCUUACCAGGGUUUGACAUCCUCUGACAUCGGCGGAAACGUCGCUUUCGUAGCAAUACGACAGAGAGACAGGUGCUGCAUGGCUGUCGUCAGCUCGUGUGGUGACAUGUUGGGUUAAGUCCCGCAACGAGCGCAACCCUUGCCUUUAGUUGCCAGCAUUAAGUUGGGCACUCUAGAGGGACUGCCGUGGUUAACACGGAGGAAGGUGGGGAUGACGUCAAGUCCUCAUGGCCUUUAUAUCCUGGGCGACACACGUGAUACAAUGGACGGUACAGAGGGAAGCGAAAGGGCGACCUGGAGCCAAUCUCAAAAAACCGUUCUCAGUUCGGAUUGGAGUCUGCAACUCGACUCCAUGAAGCUGGAAUCGCUAGUAAUCGCGGAUCAGAACGCCGCGGUGAAUACGUUCCCGGGCCUUGCACACACCGCCCGU